AUUGAACGCUGGCGGCAUGCCUUACACAUGCAAGUCGAACGGCAGCACGGGGCAACCUGGUGGCGGGAGGCGAACGGGUGAGUAAUGCAUCGGAACGUACCUUUCAGUGGGGGAUAACGUAGCGAAAGUUACGCUAAUACCGCAUAUUCUGUGAGCAGGAAAGCAGGGGAUCGCAAGACCUUGCGCUGAUUGAGCGGCCGAUGUCAGAUUAGCUAGUUGGUGAGGUAAAGGCUCACCAAGGCGACGAUCUGUAGCGGGUCUGAGAGGAUGAUCCGCCACACUGGAACUGAGACACGGUCCAGACUCCUACGGGAGGCAGCAGUGGGGAAUUUUGGACAAUGGGGGUAACCCUGAUCCAGCCAUGCCGCGUGAGUGAAGAAGGCCUUCGGGUUGUAAAGCUCUUUCGGCCGGGAAGAAAUCGCACGGGCUAAUACCCUGUGUGGAUGACGGUACCGGAAUAAGAAGCACCGGCUAACUACGUGCCAGCAGCCGCCGUAA
rnacentral:rRNA from 1 species